CGGUGCGACCAUACCAGCACUAACGCACCGGAUCCCAUCAGAACUCCGAAGUUAAGCGUGCUUGGGCGAGAGUAGUACUAGGAUGGGUGACCCCCUGGGAAGUCCUCGUGUUGCACCCC
rnacentral:rRNA from 1 species